GAUGAACGCUGGCGGCGUGCCUAAUACAUGCAAGUCGAGCGAACGGACGAGAAGCUUGCUUCUCUGAUGUUAGCGGCGGACGGGUGAGUAACGCGUGGAUAACCUACCUAUAAGACUGGGAUAACUUCGGGAAACCGGAGCUAAUACCGGAUAAUAUUUUGAACCGCAUGGUUCAAAAGUGAAAGACGGUCUUGCUGUCACUUAUAGAUGGAUCCGCGCUGCAUUAGCUAGUUGGUAAGGUAACGGCUUACCAAGGCAACGAUGCAUAGCCGACCUGAGAGGGUGAUCGGCCACACUGGAACUGAGACACGGUCCAGACUCCUACGGGAGGCAGCAGUAGGGAAUCUUCCGCAAUGGGCGAAAGCCUGACGGAGCAACGCCGCGUGAGUGAUGAAGGUCUUCGGAUCGUAAAACUCUGUUAUUAGGGAAGAACAUAUGUGUAAGUAACUGUGCACAUCUUGACGGUACCUAAUCAGAAAGCCACGGCUAACUACGUGCCAGCAGCCGCGGUAAUACGUAGGUGGCAAGCGUUAUCCGGAAUUAUUGGGCGUAAAGCGCGCGUAGGCGGUUUUUUAAGUCUGAUGUGAAAGCCCACGGCUCAACCGUGGAGGGUCAUUGGAAACUGGAAAACUUGAGUGCAGAAGAGGAAAGUGGAAUUCCAUGUGUAGCGGUGAAAUGCGCAGAGAUAUGGAGGAACACCAGUGGCGAAGGCGACUUUCUGGUCUGUAACUGACGCUGAUGUGCGAAAGCGUGGGGAUCAAACAGGAUUAGAUACCCUGGUAGUCCACGCCGUAAACGAUGAGUGCUAAGUGUUAGGGGGUUUCCGCCCCUUAGUGCUGCAGCUAACGCAUUAAGCACUCCGCCUGGGGAGUACGACCGCAAGGUUGAAACUCAAAGGAAUUGACGGGGACCCGCACAAGCGGUGGAGCAUGUGGUUUAAUUCGAAGCAACGCGAAGAACCUUACCAAAUCUUGACAUCCUUUGACAACUCUAGAGAUAGAGCCUUCCCCUUCGGGGGACAAGGUGACAGGUGGUGCAUGGUUGUCGUCAGCUCGUGUCGUGAGAUGUUGGGUUAAGUCCCGCAACGAGCGCAACCCUUAAGCUUAGUUGCCAUCAUUAAGUUGGGCACUCUAAGUUGACUGCCGGUGACAAACCGGAGGAAGGUGGGGAUGACGUCAAAUCAUCAUGCCCCUUAUGAUUUGGGCUACACACGUGCUACAAUGGACAAUACAAAGGGCAGCGAAACCGCGAGGUCAAGCAAAUCCCAUAAAGUUGUUCUCAGUUCGGAUUGUAGUCUGCAACUCGACUACAUGAAGCUGGAAUCGCUAGUAAUCGUAGAUCAGCAUGCUACGGUGAAUACGUUCCCGGGUCU
rnacentral:rRNA from 1 species